ACUGGCAAGGAUGACAUACACUUGCCCUCACUUAGACCAUAGUUCGCUGAUGAGAGCACCUAACUGUUCUGAGCCAGU
ensembl:snoRNA